rnacentral:rRNA from 1 species
AACGGGUGAGUAACGCGUAGGUAACCUGCCUGGUAGCGGGGGAUAACUAUUGGAAACGAUAGCUAAUACCGCAUAACAGUCGACAUUGCAUGAUGUUGAUUUGAAAGGGGCAAAUGCUCCACUACCAGAUGGACCUGCGUUGUAUUAGCUAGUUGGUGAGGUAACGGCUCACCAAGGCGACGAUACAUAGCCGGCCUGAGAGGGUGAACGGCCACAAGGGGACUGAGAUACGGCCCUUACUCU